rfam:Orientia tsutsugamushi str. Ikeda DNA, complete genome.
CCUGUUGUUCUAUGAACAGAAGCUUACUGGUACACGCAAUGGUAGCUAUAAGGACAAUAUACUUGACUCGAAAUGGACUCGAAAUCGUGAAAGGAAGAUUAGACUAUUAGUAUCAUGUGGUCAGAAGC